UCCUGGUAGUCUGUCAGCCUGGGGAAGGGAAUCUGUGAGUUGGCUCUCUAGGAAAACCUGGAAAACUGAUUAGCAAUGGGAGAGGAGAAAAAGUUGGAGCUUUGGGAAUAGCUGGAGAAAGAAGACCAAGAGGCAAAAAUAAUAAAUCCCAGAAGACUCAUAGAUGGAACAUUCUUUCUAUAAAGAAUUACUAAUUAGAAGAACUCUUGUGUGGCACUCUGAAUGACCAUGGGAAUUUAUAUGUUUGAGAGAUCACUACCUUCCAAUCCCUCCAAGUCAGAGGACCGGACAACCAAUAAUGCCCAAAAAACUCAGCCAAAGUUGAAAGGUGAUGGAAAUCAGAGAUGGCUGUGA
rnacentral:lncRNA from 1 species